AGUCCCAAAGUGUCCCCAAGUGCCACCACCGUGUCCCCAGGUGUCCUCGGGCCGGCCGCUGUCCCCGAAGCGCAGCUGGAGCCCGCGCCUGACGCUGCGCAGCCACUACGACGCCGUGCGGGCGCUGGCCUUUGUCCCUUGUCACCCGGCGCUGGUGACAGCCUCCGAGGACGCCACCCUCAAGCUCUGGAACCUGCAGAAGCCGCUUGUCCCCAAGAAGUGGGUGACAGGCGGGUGACAGGCGGGUGACAAGGGGGUGGCGGGUGACAAGGGGGCGGUGGCCACCACCGUUUGUCACCGUUUGUCACCGUUGUCCCCUCAGGAGCGCGGCGCUGGACGUGGAGCCGGUGUACGCCUUCCGCGGGCACAGAGGCCCUGUCCUGGCGGUGGCAGUGCGGCAGGUGACACGGGUGACACGGGUGACAGCGGUGACAUCGGGCUGUGCUGCAGUGCCGGGGUGGACGCUCGGAUCCGCUGCUGGCGCCUGCCCGGGCUGGACAGCGACCCCUACGAUGGCUACGGUGGGUGGCACUUGGGGACAUCGGGGACACCUGGGGACAGUCGGGGGUGUGGUGGCACCUGGGGACAUCGGGGACACCUGGGGACAUCGGGGGUGUGGUUGGCACCUGGGGAUAGUCGUGGGACACCGUGGGGACAGUCGGGGUGUGGUGGCACGUUGGG
rnacentral:lncRNA from 1 species